rnacentral:lncRNA from 1 species
AAUAACAUCAAUAUAAGAAAUAUAGGAAAUACGAAAAACGAAAAAGAUGGAAGGUAUACUAAUAUCCAACAGACAAAACCCUGCAUCAGUAGUUGAUCAGUAGCAUCCUAAGACUAAAUCCUAACUGGCUAGUCUUUCUCUAGUGCGUUGUAGAAAUAUCCACAACGUCCCUCUAAUCUACAACCUUAAUGCUCGACCUUCACAAUUCCCUGCCAAGGACCGUGUCCUCAGUAAUCCUAAGUCGCGCCAUGUACUGCCUGAUCACCUCUACCCAAUACUUCUUAGGUCUCCCUCUACCUCUCUUCGUGCCCACCACAGCCAGUCACUCACGCCUUCUCACCGGUGCAUCAGUGCUCCUCCUCUAAAUGUGCCCGAACCAUCUGAAUCUUGUUUCCUGCAUCUUGUCCUCCAUGGGUCACGCCCACCUUCUCUCGAAUAUCUUCAUUCCUAAUAUUAUCCAUUCUUGUAUGCUCGCACGUCCACCUCAACAUCUUCAUUUCUGCUACUUUCACCUUCUGGAUGUGUGAGUUCUUAACCGGCCAACACUCGGUCCCAUACAACAAGGCAGGCCUAACAACUGCGAUAUAAAACUUACCUUUUAGUAAUGAUGGCAUUUUCUUGUCACAUAGGACUCUCGUCGCUAACCUCUACUUCAUCCACCCCACCUCUAUACGGUGUGUGACAUACUCGUCGAUCUCCUCAAUCCCCUGAAUAACUGACCGAAGGUACUUGAAACUACCCCUCUUAGGGAUGACUUGAGAGUCAAGCCUCACUUCCACUCCCGAUUCUGUCGGCUCGGCCCCAAAUUUGCACUCGAGGUAUUCCGUCUUCGUCCUACUUAACCUGAAACCUUUAGACUCAAGAGCAUGUCUCCAAACCUCUAGCCUCUCGUUGACGCUGCGUCGUGUCUCGUCAAUUAGGACUAUGUCAUUAACAAAUAGCAUGCACCAUGGCACCUCCCAUUUAAUAUGAUGCGUUAUGGCAUUCAUAACCAAGGAAAAUAGGAAAGGGCUGAACGCAGACCCUUGGUGCAACCCCGUAGCAACCGAAAAAUGCUCGGAGUUGCCUCCUACUGUCCUAACCCGAGUUUUAGCUCCAUCAUACAUGUUUUUAAUCACCCUAAUGUAGGCAAUCGGGACCUCUUUAACCUCUAAGCAGCUCCAUAAGACCUCUCUAGGAACCCUGUCGUACGCUUUCUCUAGAUCGAUAAGCACCAUGUGGAGAUCCUUCUUAUUAUCCCUGUAUUGUUCCACCAUCCUGCUAAUAAGGUGGAUAGCUUCUGUGGUAGAUCGCCCCGGCAUGAACCUCUGAACUGGUUGUCUGAAAUAGACACCCUUCGCACUUUCAUUUCUACCACUCUCUCCCAGACUUUCAUGGUAUGACUCAUUAAUUUGAUACCCCUAUAGUUGUUAUAGCUCUGGAUAUCGCCUUUAUUCUUAUACAACGGAACUAUUGUACUCCACCUCCACUCUUCAGGCAUUCUACUAGUCUUGAAUAUAACAUUAAACAACCCAGUAAGUCAUUCCAAGCAUGUUCUACCCACACACCUCCAAAGUUCAACCGGAAUUUCGUCUGGCCCGGUAGCUUUGCCCCUUUUUAUCUUACGCAUUGCCUCUAUGACCUCAUCGACCUCAGUAUCCCUACAAUAACUGAAUUCACGGGGGCUGUCGGCAUUCUUCAAUUCACCUAGUACAAUAUCCUGAUCCCCUUCUUCAUUUAGAAGUUUAUGAAAGUAGGUUUGCCGUCUCCUCUUAAUCUGAUCAUCCCCAUCAAAACUUUGCCGUUCUCAUCUUUUAUGCACCUCACUUAGUCCGGAUCUCAAGCCGUCCUCUCUCUUACCUUAGCAAGUCAGGAAUAAAUGCGCACUUAGAAUGAUAAAACUAAUUACAAGAUUGCUAAAGAAAAACUUUGCCUCAAUCUUAAACUAUUUAGGGCGUUUAUGUCAGUCCUCCGUGAACAUUUUGUUGUGUUUGCACCCAUUUCAUCCCAAUAGUAAAUGAGUUGUCUUUAAGUCAAAUUAGGGUUUCUUUAAAACUAGAGGCUCCGUAUAACAAUUAUCCUACAUUGACAUAAAAGUCUCUAUCCAGUCUUCUGCAAAUACUGGAGCUAAUUUGAUCUGAAAAGAUAUUCUGAGGCUGCUACUCGUCAAUGUCCAAACCUGAAAUCGUUAAAAACCCUGGAUGGUCUUUCUUAACAAUAUUUCUUCUCUUAUUGAAACUACUCAUGUAUUUCAGUUCCUGCUUAUCUCGUUCCUUUUUUCAUUAAAUGAUUCUAGAAGCAUUUUUAUUGAGUUCUGAAAGUGGCGAGAUAUUUUACUUUUUGACUUUGACCUUAUAGGUUGUGGGGGUUCUGGUAACAUAAUGUGUUCAGACUGUGGAGGACGAGGUCAUCUUUCACUUGCUUGAUUCUAGCAGUUUGAUCUCGUGGCUGUUUGUCAUGAUGUAGUCGGCUUUGUCAGGUAGCAUGAAAAUGAAAAGGUUGUUGUUACAUAUAUUCAAGAAUAGCUAAUUUGAAGUUAUUUUUGUGUAUCAGUUGAUUGUUUUUGUGGAAAAAUAAUGUUAUCUGUUGAAUACAGCUAGAUUUCCCUUUUUAUAGGGUAUCAUUUUUGUUCUAAAUUCUUAUCAAGUUGAACGUGAAGAAUGUAGGAUAUCUGAAUGGAUGUAAAGCAAUGUAGAGUUUCUUGUGUAUGUUUCAAAAUGUAUUUUCGAGUCUGGUGAAAAGAAGUUUAUAAAUGUUUUCUUCUGGUUCGUAACCUAAUGAAAAGUGACAAUAGCGAUCACAUCUAUGUCGGAAAGAAAUCUUACUUCUCUUGCAGUGGGAUUGCAAACUAUAGCAGGUUGCCGCCACGUGGAGAAGCAAAAUAGACCAUUAACACACUCCUAAAAGGCACAAAGUCGUAGAGGGAGGCGUUUCCAUCUUCAAUUUGUUCUAUAGUGAAAAAAGCUUCUCUUCCGCGUGCAAAAGGUGGUGGAUUUGUGUCUUAGUUCACAGGUUCAAGCUCCCACCCCAUGUAAAACAAAGCAUGAUAUUUAAGUGGAGAAGGGUAAAGGAACGACCUUAUUAUCCACCGAGUUUCGAAGAUUGUGGUUGAUCCAAAGGAUUGGUCCCAAAUGGAUUUCUCGCUUAUUAAAAAAAAUAGAGUGGCAUUGAUGAGUAUUCAUGAAAUAUGAUUCAGAUAUUAGGGUGUUUGCCUAAGCUCUUAAGAUGGUCAAACUGGCUUAUAAGUACUUUUUAGUUUAUUUAUGCGUUUGGUAAACACCCAAAGUGCUUAUAAGUUAAAAUCAAUCAUAAAUCAUAAGUUGGUCACCCCAACUUAUGACUUUUUAGCUUAUAAACACUUUUAGUGUGACAAUACUUUUACUAGUUUAUCUUUAAUAAUAUUUUCUAAUUCACAAAAUAUUUUUCCCAAAAUAAAUUUUCUAACUUUCUUUUCAUUCCAUAUUCGUUGUUGAUCUAUUAUUUACAAAGAAACUUUUUAAUUUAUAAUUUUUGUAAAGUUUUUAAGUAUAUUUUAGUUAUUUUAAUAAAAGAGCAACUUAUCAAAACUUUUCUACCAAACAUAUUAAUUGCUUAUUAGCAAUUUCAGCACGUCUAUCUAAACAUGUAAAUUAUUUAAAAAAUUAAUUUCAUCACUUAAAAUUACACUUUAGAACUUCAGACUUACCAACUACUUACCAUUCAAAGAGAAUCUACUAGUUAGUGCCGAAUAAAAAGCCAUUUAAACAGGAGGGGAGCUUGUAGAUGUGAGUUGAAGGUAAAUUCUAAUUAUAAUUAUAAAAAUUUAUAAUCUAUGCUAAUGUUUCUUUAUAGUUCUCGCAUUUACUUUACCAUUUUACUCACAUUGUCUUGUCUCUUCUCCCCUACGGUCGAAGAUUUUUUGCUCUACAACAAUGUAGAGCAAAUAUUUAUAUUAUCAAGACAGUGUUAGGAUUAUCAAGUCAGUUAACUAUCAACUUAGAUAUAUAUACUUUACACCAAAAGUUAACCCUGAUUGAUAUUUGAUUGAACAAACCGAUAUAGUGGUUUGAUUUCGAUGUAGAUAAAACCGAAUCAUAAACUUGUGGUAGUCCACAAAAAUAAACUUGACCAUAUGGCAUUCCUAGUCAGUAGUCAUAGAGCUGGUUCAUUUUGCACCAGUAAUCAUUAAGGUCAGCAUCUAGGAAAUUUUACACAUAAUUGAUAAUACAUUCAAGGAGAUGAAUAUGUUGUUCCACCAUGAUCAAUGAACCAGACAUCUGAUUUCACUAAAAGAACGAUCACACUAAUACAAAACAUUUUCUAGUCGCGGUCGGCAUCGUCCAGUUCUUCAUCCUCAGGUACACCACGAAGAUAGAGGACAUUAUUACAUCUGCAAAAGCAAAAUCACUAAGUUUAAGAAAGAGAAAUCACAUUUUCGUUAGGGAGCAGCCAUUUCACUCGCAAAUGCUUUAAUAAAUAAAGUUAUAUAACUAUACGAAAAGACUGUCAAGAGUGAAUUGAUGAUUUGCCAUGAUACAAUUGAUGAAAAACGAAUUAACAAAUAAAUUUGUAAGAGCUAAAUGGAACACUAUCCUAGAGUGAUGUGUCAGAAAACUACCAUACAGAUAAUUCUGAAUCAUGAACUUAUAAACCAAUGAAUAAUCGAUAAAUAUUUGAAGUACUCUUUUUACAAGAACUGAAAAUCUAAAAAAUGAAACAAAAGCUAAUGGAUGUAACUGAUCCAAAUGGAGAAUGGUAUUGUGAGGAAGAUGGAACAUCAAGUCCAUAGGUAAGGAUACCAUUUGUUAGCAAUAAGAGACAACUUUUGAAAGCUACGAAUGUCUGCAUACUCACUCAUAUCUAAGGCAGAAGGGCAAAUAGAGCACAUCAAACAUUUGUCAUACUGGUCUAAUAUUUAUCAUUCACACCACACGAGACAUGCAACUAAUAAAAAAUGCAAAACAAAGAAAAUCUCCAUAAUUCCAACUCUUAAAGUCAACAAAGUUUAGGAACCAUUUUUUUUAUAUAAAAUAAGCCAACCAAGAAAGAAAAAGGAUGGGCUCCAUUUACAACUACACAUGUUUCUUCAGCCUUAUACGCCUGCUACCUGAUGCAGGCAGAAAAGGGAGCCAGACGGGAGAGGAAGAAAAUGGAGGUGGCUUUUGAGCUGUUACGAUUAUUAUGUUUUUUCAAAAUAACCAUGACAGUAUGAUUAUUAUGUUCAGCUGUUGGCAUGAAUUUCAAAUAUGGUUAUCAGGAUCAAAAGAUGAAGCCAUAAAAGGUACCUAAUCAGGAUCUCUCCAAGAGAACCAGUGCAUUGUCCAUCAAUGUAUUCUUCUGCGUUUGCAAGCUGCAAAAAGAAUAACAUGAUUUCAGAAAAUUGCACACGCAUGCACACUUCUAUAGAACAAGCAGGUUACUGGGAGCUUGCAAUUACUUGUUCGGACAAUGAAUGUAAAAUGGUUUUACUGUAAAAUCUGUAGUGUUGUGCUCAUUAUUUUUCUGAUUUUAGUUGUAUACCCAUUUGUAAACAGACUUUCCUCCAAAAGACAGGGUUUUUAUGUAGUCAGGAUACAUGAAGCUAUCCUUAUCCAAGAUUAUCUCCAAACACACAGCUAAGAUUAGGAACCAUAUGUUUAUGUGCAGCAGACAAUUAAAUUAGCUAAUCAUCUCCUACUUCAUUACUGUGCAGGACCUUUGAGAAUGGUCUUUGCGCUGCUGCAAAGUUGACUCCUUGAGCAAUUUGUACAUUACUAAAAUAUGGGAAAGGCAUCAUAAGUUAGCAAAUUCAAAUGAAAAACUCGGAUUGGGUGGCUGCCUACUGCAUCUUCAGGUUUGCAUGGAAAGAAAGAAUAACAGAAGUUUCCAAGAUGAAACAACUGCCUUACUCAAUGUGAAGCUGAGAUCUCCCAAAUAGCUAUUGUUUCUCUUAGUUUUGACAUUUUAGUGCAUCCGCGAUAAUCUAUAUUAUUGCAAAAACUUAAUGCUAUUUUUUCUUCAACACAGCACUGAGUUCACUGAACACAGUCCAUCCCCAAGCCAGAUCCACAUACAGGAAAAAAAAAACUAAAAGGCCACUAUUGCAAAGUUAACAAGAAUUUCACCCCCCCCCCCCNNNNNNNNNNNNNNNNNNNNNNNNNNNNNNNNNNNNNNNNNNNNNNNNNNNNNNNNNNNNNNNNNNNNNNNNNNNNNNNNNNNNNNNNNNNNNNNNNNNNNNNNNNNNNNNNNNNNNNNNNNNNNNNNNNNNNNNNNNNNNNNNNNNNNNNNNNNNNNNNNNNNNNNNNNNNNNNNNNNNNNNNNNNNNNNNNNNNNNNNNNNNNNNNNNNNNNNNNNNNNNNNNNNNNNNNNNNNNNNNNNNNNNNNNNNNNNNNNNNNNNNNNNNNNNNNNNNNNNNNNNNNNNNNNNNNNNNNNNNNNNNNNNNNNNNNNNNNNNNNNNNNNNNNNNNNNNNNNNNNNNNNNNNNNNNNNNNNNNNNNNNNNNNNNNNNNNNNNNNNNNNNNNNNNNNNNNNNNNNNNNNNNNNNNNNNNNNNNNNNNNNNNNNNNNNNNNNNNNNNNNNNNNNNNNNNNNNNNNNNNNNNNNNNNNNNNNNNNNNNNNNNNNNNNNNNNNNNNNNNNNNNNNNNNNNNNNNNNNNNNNNNNNNNNNNCCCCCCCACACACACACACACAAAAAAAAAAACAGAAUUGGACCAACAAUGUUUUUUGAUAUUAGGAAAAAUUCUUUUCAACUUGCUUGCAUAACUAAAUUCUUAAUACAGUAGUAGUAAAUGUGGUUAUCUAGCAGCACUCAUGCCCCUGAUGGAUAGCAGUAAUAGUAAUAUUAUCAAGCAUAUCAUAAAGAUAUAGAUGCACAUACAUCCAAUUAUAAUGUUCUUUAGACAAUUUGAAAUGGAAAAGGACAGAAACUCAAAUUAACAUUAUUACCUGCAAGUUCAUGUAUGAAUCCACAGAGACCAGAUACCCUAGAAAGAGAAGACAAAAGAAGGAGUUAGUUAAACAAUGUUUGCAGCAUCUCAAUCUAAAAAACCUUAAUGAAGAGCAUACUAUUAGGCACCACUAAGUCCAAUCAGCAGAGUACCUUUGUACUCCAUUCCCCACUUCAGCUUUACCAUCACAGGCUUUCCAGUCAAAUUGUUCAAAAAAGGCUUGGGAUUAACUGGAACUGUCUGCAAUGACCGCAAAUUAAAAGCUAUUCAGUAUGAGAAACCCAAAGUUUCUAAAUACAAUACAUUACUCUAUUUGUAUUCCCAUUCACAGCAUAGACUAAAUGAGAGAACACUAUGAUGAUAAAUAUAGCAAAGAUACAAACUUUAGUACCAAUAGCCCUGGUCUGAAUUUUUUUUACAACCGAGAAACUCAUCUGGAGCCAAUCCUAGGACCAACUGCAGCCUUCGAAACAAAGGUAUAAUAAGUCCACCCUCUACCCUUCACCACUUAAAUACCAGGCUUAGUUCACAUGGUAUAGGGAUAGAACGUGCGACCUAAGUCACAAGUCCCCUCAAACUUUGCCACUUGAACUAAGCCCUUAGGGCUACCAACACGCUUCUAAAAUAAGCUGCACCAAUACUUAGGAUCUACCCUCUAUGUUUCAAUUUUUUGGUAAUUUUGCUUAGCUAGAAUCAAUUCGACAAAUUGAUUAAACUAAUUCAGACUAGAUAUAUUAAUUUUUCCCCAAAUUACAAUUAAGAAAUUUAAAGAAAAAAACUAAAAGUACUAUUCUCAUAUCAAAUUGACCCAAAAAAUACGUUUUUUUAGAAUGUUGGUUAAGUUAGCUUAGUUAGACUCUCUCGAGAAAAAAAAAACUGAGCAUGGUGCAUCACAUGUUGCAGGUUUAUUAUCCAUAGAAACAGUGAGAAGUAUAAUACAACAAACAUAUAUACUUUUGUAAUCAUAAGGUAAAAUAAUAAUAUUAAUUAAUAGCACCAGAUAACAAAGAAGAACAAAGUAACAGAACUAUAAGGAGAAUAUAAAAGCAAGAGCAGCUAUUGAAGAAUGGUACUUGAGUACUUACCGCCAUGGAAGCUUUUCAAGGGUUUAAGGUUUUCCGGAAAGUGGGAAGAGAAGGGAAACUGCCUUUGUUUCUCCUAAUCUCCUCUGCGCUGGAGAUGAUUGGGCUAAUAAAACUUUAAUGGGCCAAACUCCAAUUAGAUGUGGGCUGGCCCACGUAAGGUUAUGAUGCCCAAGUCCAACCCUCUUACAUAAUCAAGAAGGGAAAGAAAAAGGAAAAUUACGCGACAUAUAAAAUAUUUAGAGAAACUUUCGGAAACUCCAAUAUUUUAGUGAUUAUUAAUUAGUUGUACCUAUUAUUUAUUAUAUUACUUUCUAUAGUUAUAUUUUUAGAUUUUUUAAAGUGUAUUCGAUGUAUUUAAGCUAUUGUAUUCAUGAAUACAUUAAUAUUUCUAGGCGUGAAACAGGGGAUUACAGCUAGAAAAUUUUUUUAUAUUCAAGUGUAUUCGACGAUAUUUAUAGCGUUACAGCUGGACAGAUUAUUGAAUUCAAUUGUAUUUAUUGCGUAAAACAGGGUAUUACAUUAUUUUUAAACGAAAAGUAAAUCAACUAACAUAAUAGAUUCCUAAUAUAACUCAAAAAAACUCAAUUAUAAUACACAAAAUUUGUAUUUUUAGUUAUAAAAAAUAUUCUCAAUCGAAAAAAGCCAAAAAAUAUAGCAAUCUUCAGAGAAAUUAUAUAAUACACAUGAAUACAUAAAUUAUAUUAGUUAAAACAAUAUAUGAACACAUUCAUGGAAUAUAGCGAGACAAUAAAUACAAUGAAAUACAUGGAAUACAGCAUGAUACACUGAAAUACAAUAAAAUAAAAAGACAAUGGAUACAACAAAAUAUAGCGAGAUACAUUAAAAUACACUUAAGAAAAUGUAACAUAAUUUUCAAGUUGCUCAGCCCUAAACUCCAUCGUCUUUGUACAAGAACAACCCUAAUGUCAUCUCGUCGAGAGAGCUGUGAUUCUGACUCGAACGUAAUUAUUCCCAUUACUGUGAUACUAUUCUGAAAAUAGAAAUAAAAGUUAUGCGAGAACAAACUAAUCGAUAGAAUUGCAAAUUGUAAAUCACAUCUUUACAUAUCACAUCUAACCUUUAUUCAGAACCACCACGCAACAACCAAUUUGCAGCUUUGCAGAUAAUUUCUUAAACUCAAAACAAUAAUUUUCCCCUAAUAACUCAUCUGUGUACUGUGUACUAAUUGUGUGUGAAAAUAAAAUGCAUGGAAGAUCAUGCAAAGCUCCAACAAUAGAAGAGCAACAAGCUUCUGCUAUCAAAGCUUCUAAAUUACAUUCUCUCCAAUCCCAAUUUCUCUAAUUUUCAUCGGAGAUUCGCCGCUGAUGGUGGUGGUGACGGAGAAGCUUUUUAGGAAGAAGAAUAAUAGACGGAGGAACUGAUGAGAGAGAAGCCAUUAGUUUGUAUUCAUGGAAAAAGCUGGUGUUGAGAGAGAAGGUGGAGAAAAGUAUGAAAGAAUGAAAGAAAAAAAUAAUACAAAGCUUAUUUUAUGCCUUAAGGGUAGGAGGUAACCAUAAAUAGAUUUUUUGCUAUAAAAAAAUAAAAGGUAGCUAUGGAAUAUAAUUUUUUAAAAGGAUAUUUAUUUAAAAUAAAUAAGGUAUCAACCUUUGCUAUAGGAGGUAACUAAUCCAAAUAUUUACACUAUAUUUAUCUUACGUAGCUAUAUCUUCCAGCAAAUUUAUCAUUCAUAGCUAUAUUUAAAUUUUAUAGAUCCAUGAAAUAAGAGAUUAAUUAUUUUGAACUGAAAUAAGAGAGCAACAAGCGUCUAUAACUCAGUUGGCUCUAAAUCCAUGAAAUAAGAGAUUAAUUAUUUUGGAUUGAAAUAACAGGGCAACAAGCUCUCAUAGCUUAGAGAUACAUAUGAUAAUUAGGCCAAUUGUAGUUAGUAGGCUCUAAAAUAUAGUGACUUACGAGAGCUUGUUGCUCUCUUGUUUCAAUACAAAAUAAUUAAUGUCUUAUUUUAUGAAUUUUUUAUAAAAAUCAAUUAUAGCUAUGAAUGAUAAAUUUUGCAAAAAAAAGUAUAAUUAUGAAUGAUAAAUAAAGUUUAAAUAUUUGAUGUGUCGCGUAAUUUUUUUAUUUUUUAAAAUUGAGACCGCUAGUCUAUCAUUUAGCCAUCACUCAAAAUGAUAUAGUAAACUUCAGACGCCUUUUAAUACGGAAAUGAAAUUUAAACACAAAUACUCUUAAAAAAUAUUGAAAACCUCCAUCAAUAUAUAUGAGUUUGAAAUUUACUCCAACAAAAAGUUGCAAACUCAAGAAAUAAAUUCAUAAUGUUUAAAUCUCAUUCUUGUAUUCUAGGAGAAUGUGACAGUAGAACAUGUUUGGCCUGAAAAACACUUUUAAGUGUUGAAUUUGAUUAAAAAAAUAAGCAGUUACGUAUUUAAAUAAAAGUGUUGAAAUUAAUAAUAAUUAGUUGAAGAACUGGGUAUACAAAGAGUUUUAUUUUAAAAAGAAGUGUUUUAGGGGUAGAAUAGUAAACAUUACGUUAAAUCUAAAAUGCUUAUAAUCCGAAAUUUGAUAAGUUAGGGGAUACCAACUUAUGAAUUUUGGCUUAUUUUUCGCGUAUAAGCACUUUUAAUUUUAUCAAAUGUGUAGAUAAGCCAAAAAGUGCUUAUACGCAGUGUGACCAGCUUAUAAGCUUAGCUAAACACUCUCGUAGUUAUAUUUAUAAAAAAUACACGGGGCGCCCUAUUUCGUCGCCCCCAUUUAACAUAUACCUAUUUUUUAAUUUUUUUUUUAACUUGUAGUCUUGUACCCACUUUUUAUAUAACUUCAAGCCCAUUUAUUCUCCUUCUCGUACUCCUCCACCUCCCUUUUUCUCUUUUUCUUCUCUUUUCUUAUGUUGUUGUUGGUACUGCCAUGAAACUUCAGUUGAUAGGAUAAUUGCCAUAAAUAUAUUUAUCAAAUUAUUUUAAAAUAAAUUAUAAAUAAUUACGUAAGUUAGUAGACAAUUUAUGAAUAUUUUCACGUACAUAAGUCAGUAGACAAUGAUAAUUAUGUUCGUUUCACGUUUAUUGUUUCCAAAAUUUAUGAUUUAGACAUCGUUGGCAAUCUGAUUAUUUCUUUAAUAUGUUAGAAAGUUUUUUCAAAAACUUCAAUUUAUAUAGUGCUGAAGUUUUUUAUAAAUGAACUAAAUAACUUUAGUUCCAGAGCUGAAGUUCAACAGUUACAUUAUAAAAUAAAAACUUCAGUUCUAGAGCUGAAGUUCGCCACUUACAAAACAAAAACUUUAGCUCUAGCAGUUACACUACAAAACAAAAACUUAAGUUCUAGAGCUGAAGUCCGCUAUUAAAAAAAAACUUCAGCUUUAGAACUGAAGUUCACCAGUUACAAAAAUAAAUACUUCAUCUCUAGAGCUGAAGUUUGCCAAUUAAAAAAACAAAAAUUUCAGCUCUAGAGCUAAAGUUUGUCAGUUACAAAAUCAAAAACUUCAGCUCUAAAGUUGAAGUUCGCCAGAUGCAAAACCAAAAACUUCAGCUCUAGUGCUGAAGUUCGCCAAUUAUAAAAAUAAAAAUUUCAGCUCUAGACGCUAGUUACAAAAGAAAAACUUCAGCUCAAGAGUGAAGUUCGCCAGUUACAAAAAAUAAAAACUUCAGCAAUUAGCAAAUAGAGGACAAAACUUCAGCUAUUAUGCUUUAGUUCAACAAUUAUAAACAAAAAGUUCAGCACACUUGGUUCAAUUCACUUGCUACUUCAGGCUCGUCAAAUGUUGAAGUUUUGUGUGAUUGUCUUUGCUAUUUCUGUUAUAUAAUGCAGAAGUUGUACGAAAAAACGGGUACACUUAUAAUUUUUUUUUUUGCAAAACUAUCACAAAUUAAAAAGUAAUAUAAAAAGCGACUAUAGAUGCAAAUAUCCCGUUUUAUUUACAUCAACUGUAAACUCCAGAAUACUAUUCUCUACUUUCACUUUUAUAAGUUAUAAUUUCUGAAUAUUGUGCUUGAGUUUGAUGAUUCGAUUUAGUAUGAGUGAUUUUUUAUGUAGAUUAAUAUAAAAUAAUAAUAUAAUUAAUUAAAUUAUACAACUAAUAUAAGUCUUUUUUUGCAAUCAAUAUAUAUAAACUCCUAUUAUAUUUAGCUAUUAAAAUUACUUAGCAACUAAAGAUUUGACCAUAAUAAUACAGAAUAUAAUAAGGGAUUAUUUUGGAUUGCCUGAGGACUUAAGUCAAAAGGGUAAGUGCGAACUAAGAACUGCUAGAUGAAAAACUUUGGUUCUAAACUCGAAAAGUAGGGGAAAAGUCGACAUCAACUGAUUCAGUAGUCGAAACAAACCUGCAAUUUCUCUCAAAAAAUAAUGAGGUACCCAUUUUGGAGAAAAUUCAUAAUUUGCAAAUCUUUUUUCCUUUCCGAGUUGUAUUUCUUAAUGUGAAAAUUUUGAAAAAAUGUGCAGUAGUCGUCAACCAGAAGUUCUUUGGGCUCAACGAUCUGAGAAAAUUUACUUGACCAUAUCAUUGCCUGAUGCUAAAGACGUAAUAUUGAAAUGUGAGGAAGAUGGUGUUUUUAAUUUCUCUGCUGUUGGUGUCCAAGGCGAUUCCUUUAUCUUCACUCUCCAACUUUAUGGGAAUAUUUCCCCUGAGGUUCACCUCCUAUUCUUUUUACUAUUUUCUGCAUAGUCUUUUUUGUUUUUGUUUUUGGGUGGCUAAUUUUGUUGAGUUUGGUGAAAGGAGUUGCUGGUACGUUUAAUGUUAAUCCUGAGUUUGCUAGGAGCUCUUUUAAUAGUUUGUUUAGGUUUUUGUACAUAUAUUAGAGAAACCCUAAAUUAUUGAAUGAAACGGGUACAGAAUGCAGUAGUCGUAGUAAAAUAAUACGGGAAGAAUAACAAUAGCAUUUAUAUAAUAUUAUUUAUAAGCGGAUGCACGAAUUGACUUGAGUCGUGAUGGGCAUUGUUCUAAGAAACUAUUUCACAAUGUCAAAUAUUUCCUCAGGAUUAAAUAAGCCUACCUCUACUUAAGAGGAUAUAGGAAUCAAUAAAAUAUUAAAUUACAAACUCAGUUAUAUAAAUAGGGGAACAAAAGAAAAUAGACUACUAAAUUUUGGAGAAGUAUAGACAAGGGAAGCUGGUGUAGAACGAAGAGGCAAAGGAAAGUUGCUGAUGGUUGAUGCCCAAUUUGAAUGCCUAUUUAUAGGCUUUAAGAGAGGUCUGACACAUGACAAGUUGUCUUGAGUUUUCCCUGCAAGAUUGCCGCACUCAUUUCUUCAUUGCCACUUAGAAGGACAUUUGUCCAGUUUUGAAAAUAUCACAAUAGUUCCUUCAUAUAUUUUCAAAAUUCAUACAAAGAGGAGUAAAAUUUGCUGGAUUUGUAUGAUCCAAAUGCAAUAGGUUUGGUGUUUUUUGGAUUAUGAACCAAACAUAGACUGAUAAAAUCAACUCACAUAAUUACUGGUGAAAUAUAAUAUUUCUGUGAGCACUCCUUUUGAUGCUAACUCUCAAUUGGAAAAAUACAAUGGUGAUUCAGUUGCUUAGUCUAAAUAUGCUCAGAUUAUUGGGAGUCUGAUACACUUAAUGAAUUUUACAAGGCCUGAUAUAGCCUAUGUUGUGUGUAGACUGAGUAAAUAUACUCAUAGCCCCAACAGAGAAUGUUGGUCUGUAUUAGCUACACUAAUGAAAUAUUUGAGAGGAACCAUGAAUUAUGGUAUCCUAUAUAGUGGAUUUCUUCUAUUUUAGAAGAGUGGAGUGAUGCAAACUGGAUCUCCGAUUCAUAUGAGACAAAAUUCACUAGUGGUUAUGUAUUCACCCUUGGUGGCGGUGCAAUAUUGUGAAAAUCAGCUAAACAGACGAUCAUAGCUAGAUUGACUAUGGAAUCAGAGUUUGUAGUUUUGGAGUUAGCAGGUUCUGGGGCUGAGUGGUUUAGAAAUUCUUUGCUAAUAUUUCUUUAAUAAAGGAUGUAUUGCCUCCCGUGUCUAUGCAUUGUGAUUGUCAAGCAGCAAUAGCUAUUGCAAAGAAUAAAUCUUAUAAUUAUAAAGUAGACACAUGAAAUUGAGACAUGACGUCAUAAACCAGCUGUUGAGAGAUGGAAUAAUUUCCAUUGACUAUGUGAAGUCAGACAACUAAACUUGUGGGAAGAAAAUUAAUUCUUUAAACCUCAAGAUAGAUGUGGUUAAGGCCAACAUGUUGCCAAUAGAGAUGGUAACCCAACCUAUGUGAUUGGAGAUCCCAUAAAGUAGGUUCAUAUGGGUAAUAACAAGUCGAUAUUGACAGUGAAACACUAAAAGAGAGUGCUUGACUACUAAUUGAGAGGCUACGUUAUAACUCUUAAUAAAUUCAUAUUCCUUAUGAAUGGUGUAUUUAAAAACAAUAUACACUUGAUGAAUUGAUGAACAUGGUUGUUGGUACAUUCACGUUACGACCAGUGUUUGCUAGAUACUUAUAAAAUGUGGCGAAUUUCAAAUGUUAGAAAACCCCACAGUAUUGAAUAUGGAAUAGAAUGGAUACCACUGGAGUCGGACAGAUAUUGAGGAUUCACGUAGCCGACUAUAACUAGUUUGCAACUGAGGUGUUCUUCUGACUAAAAGGGUUCUAGUUUCUGAAUCAGGAUGUUUGGUUUUAUGCUGUGAUUUCUAAUGGGUUUCACAGGGUUAGUACAUUGCUCGCUCAAUCAUAGUUGUUAUAACACCUUUUUUUUUUUUUUGGCAGAGGAGUAAGGUUGAUCUACCCACAUCUUGGUCUUGAACUAUGUAAAUGGAUAGAAAAUUUAUCAUAAUGUUAGGAAGAGCAUAUCAGACUGUGCACCUACUGGCCUAUGUUUGUGACUUUAAGUUGUCGUGCUUGUUUCUUUAUUCUUCUAAAGUUUGGUAUCAUAUAUGUAGUUAUGUUUUGCAUUUAUAUGUGAUUGACUUUUCGAAGUGAAUUUAUAAAAUUAAGCUAGAAAAAUGCUUAGUGUACAUAUGCUCUAUCUAUUAAAAGUGAAAGAAGAAUUUGAAUUUUACAUUAUGUCCUCAAACUGUAUAUAUGUCGUGAUGGUAGUUUAGAGUGCCGUGUAUGAAAGCACGCUUAUCGUGAGUGUCUGUUCCUUUAUACCUGAUGAUAUUAGCAGUUAUAAAGUUGAAAAGGAUUUGCAACCCUCGUGUAUGCACCUUAUUAGCAGUAUCUUGUAUGCACCUUGGUAUCAUUGUUUGAUUGCUCUUCACUAUGCAUAGUUGGAUAUUGUAUUUCCUAAUUCUGAUAUGUGCAUUGAGGCUUGAGCUGUGUUAUGUCUAUCGUGACUUAAAAGAAUCUUUCUGUUAAUUUUUGCUUGAACAAUAGUAUAUUUUCUUACUCCCUUUAGAUGAAAUGCGAAUAGUUUAUUCUCUUACAGAAAUGUUAUAGUUUAACUGGAUAUUUCUUCCUUUUCAUAUUUGUUUCAAUGUUAGAGAAUCCUCAUGGUUGAUAUCUUAGAGUGUAUUUUGGUGCAGCGGUGUAAAACUAAUGUGGGGUUGAGAAACAUCCUUUGCUCAAUCCAAAAGGAGCAAAAAGGCUGGUGGCCAAGAUUAUUGAAGUCUGAAGAGAAACCCGCUCCAUACCUCAAAGUCGAUUGGAACAAAUGGUGUGAUGAAGACGAUGAAGAAUCUUGUGAGUUGGCUGCAUAUUACUUGCUUCCUUAAAUUUCCAUAAAUUUUAUGGCUAUCUUUCCAUUAAUUUGAGACAGUGAGCAGAUCAGAAACUUAAGUAUUUAGUGAAUCCUAAUGUUGGUAAGCCUCCUGUUGGUUCAAUCAAUCUUACUAUCGUUUUGCUGUUGAAUCUUCCUUUAAUUUGUAAUUCAACUCCAUCUCCGCCCUUCCCUCUUUUUCUUCUUUUUGUGCUUUGUAGUAGGAGCUAAGUGGCAGAUGAAAUAUUACCAAUACUUUUGAUUUGAUUUUCUUCCUACUUCCCCUGCAAGACGUUUCAUUUGAUUGAUCCAGGGCAACUUUUAGUAAUUAGACUGCAGGUUGAGUGUAUUCAGUCUUGACUGUCUCUAAUCAGACUUUUCAUGCCUGAUUAAAGGAGAACGGUUUUUUGGAAAAAGGAAAGGAGUAGAAGAGAUGGAAAAUCAGAAGAAAUAAGUGAAUGAGAAAGUAAAACCAUUUUCUUUCUUUUGUCUGGUUUGAGACAGUGGGGAAGCAAGGAAAUUUUGCUACCAUAUUUCCUUAUAUUUGACUAUUUAACCUGAUGCCAGAAGGACAGUAAUAUACUUCUUUCUAUAUUUUCUUUCUUAUUUUAAUGGUAUGAGCACAUCAUGUGAUGUGUGGGUUAGGCGCAUGUCACAGGUUUGAACCUUAUGGAGACAAAAACUCGGUAUUUAAUCGAGAAGGCAGAGGGGCGGGCCCACUAUCACCGACCUUUAAACCAUAUGUCACAGCCCUCAGGAAUUUCUCGAUUAAAAAAGAAACUUAGGCAAAGGGGACUUUUUGAACUUUCUUUUCCUUGUCUUCCUUAGUUUUGAGUCGAAGUGUUAGUUUGUCUAAAAAAGUUUUGAUAAUCGAGAAAUCCCCGAGUGCCAGUGGAACAAGGUUUGAAAGUCGAAGGAUCCUGGGUUGACCUCUCACCAUUCCCCAAAUAUAUAACAGACACUUACCUCUGGUAUGAACCUAUAACUUAUGCCUAACACACACAUCAUGCGAUGUGCUCUUACUACUGGACAAAAGUCAGGGGGCUUAGUUUAUCUAGAAUUUUUGUUUUGCAAUUGAUAUAGUUGGUUAAUGUAUGAUAAUGUGCUCCGAGAUUAGGCAUGCAGGUUUGCACUUCCUACUUCCGAAGAUAAUUUGAUUUUACCCGAUUGAUCCUGUUACUAAAUUUUAUUUCAUCACUUCCCUCCCUCUUCCUUUCUCCGUCCAUAGUGAUAAUCAACUCUCUCAAGUUUGUGGUCUUUUACAGCUGUGUAUCAAUAGCGAUGAACAGUACCAUCUUACUUACUUCAUUCUUCUCUCUCUUCUACUUUGGGAAGAACUGAAGCUUUUGAGCAGUUGUCACUAACUCACCUUCUCAUGUAUAACUAUACGUGUUAUUUACUCAUAGACUAAUCCAGAUUUCUGUUCCAUGCAGCGGACUCUGACGAGGAUGUUGAGGUAAUACCUACCCUAGCUAGUUAAUAUUACAUGCAACAUAAUGUUCAAUGACUUUGAUCAUAGUAACUUGACUUGAAUGUAUCUUCUUUUAGUACACUGGAGAAGAUGAUGAGAGCAGCGAUGAUGGAGGAAUGCUCUGUGAGUUAUUUACUAUCUGAUUGCACGAAUAUAGGGAUAGCUUUUAAAUUUGUCGUAUCUAUCAGAUGCAAUGUUAAGUUUUCCAGUCAACUCUUCUUACACUUCAUCAGUACACUCCUGCUCUCAGAUACUUGUCUAGAUCUCAUUUCCUUUAACAGAGGAAUAGCACCAAAUUCUUGCUUCUCAUUUUUUUGCUUAUAUGAGCAAUUUUUUAUGCACGUAUGACAUUGAAGAGACGGGGAACUUAAAGAGUUUGAAAGGGAGAGGAACAAGGAGCGUGGAUAGGAGUAUAAGGUUCACAGUUUUGAUAAAAUUUCAGGAUCGAACGGAUGGAGGCGAAUAUGAGAAAGUGGGACCUUUAGUUUAUUCUGCUGCAAAACCUCGCUUAGUGGAACUUUUUGUAAGACACCUUAGAAGUAAGCACAAAAUGAACAUCUGAUGAAGGUAUUAAAAUCACAUAACACCCAAUAGCUUCUUUUUAAUCUUGGUUUUCCCUAAUGUGGAAGUUAACGUCCCUCUAUCUCUCUUUUCUUCUCUGCCUUAGGGUCUUCUUUCCUUUAUCCUUUCUUGUAGUUCUUUUCAUUAAGUUCACAAAAGAACAUUUAGAGGCGGAGUCGGGAUUUAAAGCUUGUGGGUUCGAGAUUCUAGUUUAUUUAUGUUACUGGGUUCUAAGUUAACAACAACAACAACAACAACAACUACCAGUAUAUUCCCACCAGGUGGGGUCUGGGGAGGGUAAUAUGUAGACGAGCCUUACCCCUACCCGAAAGGGUAGAGAGGCUGUUUCCAUACAACAACUACCCAGUAUACUCCCACCAGGUGGGAUCUGGGGAGGGUAAUAUAUAGACAAGUCUUACCCCUACCCGAAAGGGCAGAGAGGCUGUUUCCAAUCGACCCCUGGCUCAUAGGAUAAAAGGAAAAACAACAGUAAAACAAAAACAAAGAUAAAAAUAAAAACAAAAACAAAAACAAUAGAGCAUUAGUAACUCCAGCAGAAAUAGUGUAAAUAAGCGUAAAUAAUUAUCUAAACAUACGAAACAUAAAUACAGUCGCAUGCAAUAACAUCAUACAGUAACUACCAUAACUAACAGCCAUAGGGGGUACAUAAGCUAAAACACAAAUCAUCUAUAAGUAACCCUGCUGACCCACACCCAACCCCGGAUGAGGCGUACAAAAAACUCUAGGAGCCCCUAUCCUACAACCCUGAUUCUAGACCUCCAGACUUUCGUAUCAAGGGUCAAGUCCUCCGAAACCUGCAUUCUAGUCAUGUCCUGCCUAAUCACCUCUCCCCAAUGCUUCUUAGUCCUCCCUCUGCCUCGCCGACCGCCAACAAUCUCCAGCCGCUCGCAGCUCCUCACCGGGGCAUCGGGACUUCUUCUCCGCACAUGCCCGAACCACCUCANNN